GAAAAAUUAGCAAGCUCUGCUCGGAUAUAAUGAUAGAUUUAGGGUUUCAAGAAUCAAAGACAAAUGAGAUAAAUUGCAGAAAUUCUUUAUUUCAACUGGAAUAAGAUCAUAAACAAAUAAUCGAAUGCCAAUAAACAAUUCAAGAAAAGAGAAUAAGAAUAAAAUAGGAGACUUCAGCUCACAAAACUCAAUUACACUAAUA
rnacentral:misc_RNA from 1 species